rnacentral:tRNA from 1 species
AGCGGAGUGUAGCAGUGGUAGCUUACCAGCCUCAUAAGCUGGUGGUCGUUGGUUCAAAUCCAACCUCCGCCCCCA